GAUUAACGCUAGCGGCAGGCAUAAUACAUGCAAGUUGAACGGCAGCACAGGUAGCAAUACUGGGUGGCGAGUGGCGCACGGGUGCGUAACACGUAUGCAACCUACCCUAUACAGGCGAAUAACCUUUAGAAAUGAGGGCUAAUACGCCGUAGUAUUACAGAUGGGCAUCUAUUUGUAAUUAAAGAUUUAUCGGUAUAGGAUGGGCAUGCGUCCCAUUAGUUAGUUGGUAAGGUAACGGCUUACCAAGACGAUGAUGGGUAGGGGAUCUGAGAGGACUUACCCCCACACUGGUACUGAGACACGGACCAGACUGCUACGGGAGGCAGCAGUAAGGAAUAGUGGGCAAUGGCCGCGAGGCUGACCCAGCCAUGCCGCGUGCAGGAAGACGGCCUUAUGGGUUGUAAACUGCUUUUAUACGGGAAUAAUAGAGUGUACGCGUACAUUUAUGCAAGUAUCGUAUGAAUAAGCAUCGGCUAACUCCGUG
rnacentral:rRNA from 1 species